rnacentral:rRNA from 1 species
CCUACGGGUGGCAGCAGUGGGGAAUAUUGCGCAAUGGGCGAAAGCCUGACGCAGCGACGCCGCGUGAGGGAUGACGGCCUUCGGGUUGUAAACCUCUUUCGCACGGGACGAAGCGAGAGUGACGGUACCGUGAGAAGAAGCACCGGCUGACUACGUGCCAGCAGCCGCGGUAAUACGUAGGGUGCGAGCGUUGUCCGGAAUUAUUGGGCGUAAAGAGCUCGUAGGCGGUUUGUCGCGUCUGUCGUGAAAACUGGAGGCUUAACUUUCAGCGUGCGGUGGAUACGGGCAGACUUGAGUUCGGUAGGGGAGACUGGAAUUCCUGGUGUAGCGGUGAAAUGCGCAGAUAUCAGGAGGAACACCGGUGGCGAAGGCGGGUCUCUGGGCCGAUACUGACGCUGAGGAGCGAAAGCGUGGGGAGCGAACAGGAUUAGAUACCCGAG